CCAAUCACAGAGAAAUUGCUCAUCACUGUGUAGGCUGAAAAAUUGAGGUGGGGCUGACAAGCAACUCUCCAUUCUGACCUGCAGCCCUCAAUGUUACUUUUGCUCUUGGCUUUCUGCCAGGCCUGUCAUUGAAUCUGAACUUUUAGCCCAAGCUCUGCCCUAUUUGGACCUUGGCAUAGACCAGAAUGUAAAAUGAUAAUGCCCUGAGCUGUGCUGAACAGCACGGAGUUCCUGAGAUGUUACAGAUGCAGCUGUGACCAGCAAACACAUUGUUUCCGGGAUUGUGUUUGUAAAUAUAUGAGUUGCCUGACAGCUUGUGGAAUUAAAUAUAGAUGCUACAUCACAAACUCUAGCUAAAAUAAACUAUAUGCUGCUCAAUGAAUGUCAAUAAGUACACAGAGGAAGAAUCAUUAUCCCUUUUUGUAGCACAGUCCAAGACACCCAUCCGUAAGUGCUUUGUUUGAUAAAGGGCUCUCUUUUUAGGCCCCCAUAGGCUUUUGACUGGUAUUAUUGGACAGCUGGGAGGAUAGUGGGGGUAAGGAGACAAAAGGGUACAAUCAAUAAAGUUGCUGCAUUGAGGAAAUGUUGUGUGGUGGCAGAAGCUGGCUUGGAGAUUCACCAGGUAAACUAGAAUAUCAUAGUUAACCCUUUUGGAAUUGCUGGGCUCAAGGCAUCAUUUCUGAAAGUAUGGUCCAAGGCUCACUGGUGGUUUGCAAGGGACUACUGAUGGGGAACAAGCUGAUCUAUCACUGCAAGUUCUCUCUUCAGUUAUUAAGCCAAGAGAUAGCAAUGCAGAAGUUGUAAUGACUUUCAUGACCUAGCCUUGAAAACCACACAUCAUUUAGGUUACUUUGAAUUUUCCACUAUUGUAAAGAUCAUGUUAUAAAAUAUAAAAUGAGUUUAGGAAUAUAAACACAUAUACCUAAAUGUAGGUUAUAUAAAUAUAAACUGUGUUACAUCAUUUCUGCUGUAUCUUUUGGUCACAUAGGCCAGCACUGCCAUACUAUGGGAGGGGACCAUGCAAGGGUGUGAGUUCCAGGAACUAUGGAGUAUUGAAGGCCAUUUUGAAGGCUAUAUGCCACACAGGGGAAGACUUCGCCAAGAAAAAUACUCCUGAUGUCUCUCCUCACUGGGAACUGUUUGUAUUGUGAGUUUGAGAGAAGCACAGAGCUCAUACUGAUCCGUUAGUUCUAGACUUCUUCCUCUUUGCCAGCUAGACAGCCUGCAGUGGACGGGCAUUCUGCUUGUUUUCUGUUACCCGAUAAACUUAGCAUAGCAGGCUCUGCCUCUGUGGUCAACCUGCUAAAUCCACAGAUUUAGGGAAGUGGCAAUGGGGUGGCCUGUGUUGUCUAGCCUGAUUUGGCUCCAGACCAAGGUCACCCUAGGAUCUCUACUCAUUCUCCUCAGGAAUGAAGCUGAUCUCUAGUUGUAUGUUAUUCCUCAACUGGAAUUCUAUUGAAGAAAAAACGAGGCCAGGUACGGUGGCUCAUACCUGCAAUCCCAGCACUUUUGGAGGUUGAAGCAGAUCACUUGAGGUCAGAGGUCAGGAGUUUGUAACAAGCCUGGCCAACAUGGUGAAACUCUGUCUCUACUAAAAAUACAAAAAUUAGCUGGGCAUAGUGGUGGGUGCCUGUAAUCCCAACUACUCAGGAGGCUGAGUCAGGAGAAUUGCUUGAGCCUAGGAGGUGGAGGUUGCAGUGAGCCGAGAUUGUGCCACUGCACUCCAGCCUAGAUGACAGAGUGAAACUCUGUCUCAAAAAUAAAAGAGUAGAGGUAAAGAAAGAAAUGCUGUUU
rnacentral:lncRNA from 13 species